rnacentral:rRNA from 1 species
GAUGGCGAGUGGCGAACGGGUGAGUAAUACAUCGGAACGUGCCCUGUAGUGGGGGAUAACUAAUCGAAAGAUUAGCUAAUACCGCAUACGACCUGAGGGUGAAAGUGGGGGACCGCAAGGCCUCAUGCUAUAGGAGCGGCCGAUGUCUGAUUAGCUAGUUGGUGGGGUAAAGGCCCACCAAGGCGACGAUCAGUAGCUGGUCUGAGAGGACGAUCAGCCACACUGGGACUGAGACACGGCCCAGACUCCUACGGGAGGCAGCAGUGGGGAAUUUUGGACAAUGGGGGCAACCCUGAUCCAGCAAUGCCGCGUGUGUGAAGAAGGCCUUCGGGUUGUAAAGCACU